rnacentral:miRNA from 1 species
GUGAUGUAACUGCGGAGACUGC